UUGAUAUUUUAUAUUUUUCAAAUUUAAAUUUGAUCUUAAAUUUAAAGUUUGAAAUUUAAAUUUAAAAUUUUGAAUUUAAAAUUUGAGAUUUUAAAUUUUAAAUUUUAAUUUAAAAUUUUAUAAUUUAAAAGUAAAAAAAUUUAAAUUUUAAAAAAAAUAUAUAUAUAAAAUUUCAAAUUUCAAAUUCAAAUAUAAUGAGAAGCGUAAUAUCAUUAUUUUUUAUUUAUAACUACCCACUUUAAUUAUUAUUCCAUCUUAUCUAACCAAACGUUAAUUUUUUUAUUCCCAGAAAUAAUCCAAUUUUCACCAAAAUGCAAAAUUGAUUUAAUCCCCGCUUAUACCUCAAUUUAUAUCUAUCUCUGGAAUAACCACUUUUUGCUUAUCUCGAACCAAAUGAUACCUAAGGGUUUGUGGGAUUGUGAG
rnacentral:lncRNA from 1 species